rnacentral:rRNA from 1 species
GACGAACGCUGGCGGCGUGCUUAACACAUGCAAGUCGAACGAAGAGCGAUGGAAGCUUGCUUCUAUCAAUCUUAGUGGCGAACGGGUGAGUAACGCGUAAUCAACCUGCCCUUCAGAGGGGGACAACAGUUGGAAACGACUGCUAAUACCGCAUACGAUCUAAUCUCGGCAUCGAGGAUAGAUGAAAGGUGGCCUCUACAUGUAAGCUAUCACUGAAGGAGGGGAUUGCGUCUGAUUAGCUAGUUGGAGGGGUAACGGCCCACCAAGGCGAUGAUCAGUAGCCGGUCUGAGAGGAUGAACGGCCACAUUGGGACUUAGACACGGCCCAGACUCCUAUGGGAGGCAGCAGUGGGGAAUCUUCCGCAAUGGACGAAAGUCUGACGGAGCAACGCCGCGUGAGUGAUGACGGCCUUCGGGUUGUAAAGCUCUGUUAAUCGGGACGAAAGGCCUUCUUGCGAAUAGUGAGAAGGAUUGACGGUACCGGAAUAGAAAGCCACGGCUAACUACGU